AGCGAACGCUGGCGGCAUGCCUAACACAUGCAAGUCGAGCGCUCCCAGCAAUGGGGGAGCGGCGGACGGGUGAGUAACGCGUAGGAACGUAUCCUGAGGUGGGGGAUAACCCUGGGAAACUAGGGCUAAUACCGCAUGAUGGCGAGAGCCCAAAGAUUUAUCGCCUUGGGAGCGGCCUGCGUCUGAUUAGCUUGUUGGUGGGGUAACGCCUACCAAGGCGAUGAUCAGUAGCUGGUCUGAGAGGAUGAUCAGCCACACUGGGACUGAGACACGGCCCAGACUCCUACGGGAGGCAGCAGUGGGGAAUAUUGGACAAUGGGCGAAAGCCUGAUCCAGCAAUGCCGCGUGGAUGAAGAAGGUCUUCGGAUUGUAAAGUCCUUUCGGCGGGACGAUGAUGACGGUACCCGCAGAAGAAGCCCCGGCUAACUUCGUG
rnacentral:rRNA from 1 species